CUCUCCAACAGCCUUGUCGACACAGCCAGUACGCCGAUUCUCUCCCAGCUUCGGGCAAGGACCACCGACUCGACCCCGCCAAUACGCCCACGGCCUGAGACUUCAGUGGCCAGCGUGCGUGCAAUCCAGGCCCGGAUGGACGAAGAGACGAAGAGGCAGGAGGAGAUCGAGGCGAGGCUGGAGGAGGAGCGGACGCUAAGGCAGGAGCAAGAGCGCAGGUGGCAGGAAGAGCGGAUGCAGGAGCGGCAGAGGAUGGAGCAGGCGCUUCUUGCUGAGCGACAGGCUGCACAACAACAGAUGCAGACCAUGUUCUCAUACCUCCAAUGCCUUGGCGCGACAAUCAACUAUCAACCGCCGCCAACGAUGCCCUGGCCUCCACCACCGCUGCCACCGCUAGGCCUUCCUUCUAUCUUUCCUCCAUCUGGCGCUACAGGCACUCCUAAUCAAUCGAUUGGGGGGGUCAAAUGAGCCUCUGGACGAGCAUUCACCGGCACCGGCAGCGUCGUAGUGGCCACCUAGCUGAUUUAGAGUUAUUUACGAUAUUUGUUC